rnacentral:rRNA from 1 species
UACGGGGGGGGCAAGCGUUGUUCGGAAUUACUGGGCGUAAAGGGCUCGUAGGCGGCCAACUAAGUCGGAUGUGAAAUCCCCAGGCUUAACCUGGGAACUGCAUCCGAUACUGGAUGGCUUGAAUCCGGGAGAGGGAUGCAGAAUUCCAGGUGUAGCGGUGAAAUGCGCAGAUAUCAGGAGGAACACCGGUGGCGAAGGCGGGUUCUCCUGGGGCCUGAGUACUGACGCUGGAGGAACGAAAGCGUUGGG